AUUGAACGCUGGCGGCAUGCCUUACACAUGCAAGUCGAACGGCAGCACGGGAGCAAUCCUGGUGGCGAGUGGCGAACGGGUGAGUAAUACAUCGGAACGUGCCCAAUCGUGGGGGAUAACGCAGCGAAAGCUGUGCUAAUACCGCAUGAGAUCUACGGAUGAAAGCAGGGGACCGCAAGGCCUUGCGCUCAUGGAGCGGC
rnacentral:rRNA from 1 species